AAUUUACACGCCGUGUAACUGUGAAUCUUUUAAAGCCUCAGUUUUAUGACCCUGUGGAGCCAGGGGACUUUGAAGGACUUCUGAUGACACACCUGAACAGCCUGGAUGUGCAGCUUGCCCAGGAGCUUGGGGACUUCACUGAUGACGACUUGGAUGUGGUGUUCACGCCAAAGGAAUGUAGGACUUUGCAGCCCUCUUUGCCAGAGGAAGGGGUUGAACUGGACCCUCAUGUCAGGGACUGUGUUCAGACCUACAUCCGUGAGUGGCUAAUCGUGAACCAGAAAAACCAAGGAAGUCCAGAAAUCUGUGGCUUUAAAAAGACUGGAUCUCGAAAAGAUUUUCACAAGACGCUUCCGAAACAGACGUUUGAGUCGGAAACCUUGGAGUGCAGUGAACCCGCUGCUCAGGCAGGCCCCUGCCACUUAAACGUGCUGUGCGAUGUGUCUGGGAAAGGCCCCAUCACUGCCUGUGACUUUGACCUCCGCAGCCUGCAGCCUGACAAGCGGCUAGAAAACCUCCUGCAGCAAGUGAGUGCUGAGGACUUUGAGAAGCAGAAUGAGGAGGCCCGGAGGACCAAUCGGCAGGCCGAGCUCUUUGCCCUUUACCCCUCAGUGGACGAGGUGGGUGCCACUGUUUCCAUACUGGAGAAUCUCAGUGAAGACUCUGGGAGUCAUGUGGACAAUUGUGUUGUUCGUUAUUACUAUAUAGCAGCCCAUGAUGUCAGGGCUCACUUGUAUGAUUUCUGGGGCCUUGUUUUUCACUCAGGCAAGCCUGUGUGUCAUAGCAGAGCCAAUAUUGAUUAUCAUACAGAUGGGAUUCUGAUAAUAAUAACAACUGGAAUUUUCAUAGCCCUUUACAAAAUAUGUUCACUAACAGCAUCUCAUUUAAUCCCCAAACGUUUCAAGGGUCUACAUGUAGUAAUCAUACCCAGCAAGUCAAACCAUCCUAUUAUUUGAGGGUAUGUGUGGUCACUACUCCAUUGAGACAUACAUUACUUAAACUUUGAUGUUCUUUAGUGCUUUGUUACUUUCUUUUUAAUGAUCUCUAUGAGCAACCAGAAAGACCUGCUUUGAAAACAUUUCAGGCUAGGAUAAUCACAGCCCGUGCUCCCAAUGUGUAGAACUUUGGGAUCUUGAUUGUUUACUUCUUCAUUUAUUGGAGCUGACUGACAACAAUAGGAUAAUGUAGACUUUGCCUGUGGUCACUGCCUGAGGCACUUUGGAUGAAAUGAGAGGUGACCAUCAUUCAAGCCUUGUGUCUGUUUGAACUCCUUAUACUGUAUAGGAGGCUCUCAGUUUUCCCCUCUGCGUCAGAUUAUCUACACUUCUGGGUCUUGCCAGAACAGAUUACUGCUAUACCUCUGCUGUCCAAAUCGUAUUGAAAGUUCAGUUGGAA
rnacentral:sRNA from 1 species